rnacentral:rRNA from 1 species
UCCUCCUACGGGAGGCAGCAGUGGGGAAUUUUGGACAAUGGGCGAAAGCCUGAUCCAGCAAUGCCGCGUGUGUGAAGAAGGCCUUCGGGUUGUAAAGCACUUUUGUCCGGAAAGAAAUGGCUCUGGUUAAUACCCGGAGUCGAUGACGGUACCGGAAGAAUAAGGACCGGCUAACUACGUGCCAGCAGCCGCGGUAAUACGUAGGGUCCAAGCGUUAAUCGGAAUUACUGGGCGUAAAGCGUGCGCAGGCGGUUGUGCAAGACCGAUGUGAAAUCCCCGGGCUUAACCUGGGAAUUGCAUUGGUGACUGCACGGCUAGAGUGUGUCAGAGGGAGGUAGAAUUCCACGUGUAGCAGUGAAAUGCGUAGAGAUGUGGAGGAAUACCGAUGGCGAAGGCAGCCUCCUGGGAUAACACUGACGCUCAUGCACGAAAGCGUGGGGAGCAAACAGGAUUAGAUACCCUGGUAGUCCACGCCCUAAACGAUGUCAACUAGUUGUUGGGGAUUCAUUUCCUUAGUAACGUAGCUAACGCGUGAAGUUGACCGCCUGGGGAGUACGGUCGCAAGAUUAAAACUCAAAGGAAUUGACGGA